GAUGAACGCUAGCUACAGGCUUAACACAUGCAAGUCGAGGGGCAGCAUGGUCUUAGCUUGCUAAGGCCGAUGGCGACCGGCGCACGGGUGAGUAACACGUAUCCAACCUGCCGUCUACUCUUGGACAGCCUUCUGAAAGGAAGAUUAAUACAAGAUGGCAUCAUGAGUCCGCAUGUUCACAUGAUUAAAGGUAUUCCGGUAGACGAUGGGGAUGCGUUCCAUUAGAUAGUAGGCGGGGUAACGGCCCACCUAGUCUUCGAUGGAUAGGGGUUCUGAGAGGAAGGUCCCCAACAUUGGAACUGAGACACGGUCCAAACUCCUACGGGAGGCAGCAGUGAGGAAUAUUGGUCAAUGGGCGCAGGCCUGAACCAGCCAAGUAGCGUGAAGGAUGGCUGCCCUAUGGGUUGUAAACUUCUUUUAUAAAGGAAUAAAGUCGGGUAUGUAUACCCGUUUGCAUGUACUUUAUGAAUAAGGAUCGGCUAACUCCGUG
rnacentral:rRNA from 1 species